UGUUGGUUCACCGCCCGUCGGUGUUUAACUGGCAUGUAUCGUGGGACGUCCUGCCGGUGGGGCGAGCCGAAGGCGCGCGGCCGCCUUGCGCGUGCCCGUGCGUCCCGAGGCGGACCCCGUUGAAAUCCUACCGCGGUGCUCUUUACCGAGUGUCGAGGUGGGCCGGCACGUUUACUUUGAACAAAUUAGAGUGCUUAAAGCA
rnacentral:rRNA from 1 species